UCUCCCUGGCCAUGGACAAAGAAACACCUUGUUGGUAGUGUUCUUGUAUCAGUCAAGGAUAGUGCAGUUGGCAGCAGUCCUUUGCUCAUUCUAGCUUGAUGUCUGGCUUGCUGGCCAAAGCUGUUUUAUACCUAGGAUACAUAA